UACGGAGGAUGCAAGCGUUAUCCGGAAUGAUUGGGCGUAAAGCGUCCGCAGGUGGCUGUGUAAGUCUGCUGUUAAAGAGUGAGGCUCAACCUCAUAAAGGCAGUGGAAACUACAUGGCUAGAGUGCGUUCGGGGCAGAGGGAAUUCCUGGUGUAGCGGUGAAAUGCGUAGAGAUCAGGAAGAACACCGGUGGCGAAAGCGCUCUGCUAGGCCGCAACUGACACUGAGGGACGAAAGCCAGGGGAGCGAAUGGG
rnacentral:rRNA from 1 species